rnacentral:rRNA from 1 species
CCUACGGGAGGCAGCAGUGAGGAAUCUUGGUCAAUGGCCGGAAGGCUGAACCAGCCAAGCCGCGUGAAGGACGAAGGUGCCAAGCAUUGUAAACUUCUUUUGUCAAGGGACAAAAUCAGGCUCGAGAGCCUGACCGAGGGUACUUGAAGAAAAAGCAUCGGCUAACUCCGUGCCAGCAGCCGCGGUAAUACGGAGGGUGCGAGCGUUAUCCGGAUUUAUUGGGUUUAAAGGGUGCGUAGGCGGGCUGUUAAGUCAGCGGGAAAAGCCCGGGGCUCAACCCCGGCGAGCCGUUGAAACUGGCUGUCUUGAGAUGUCGAGAGGUAUGCGGAAUGCGCAGUGUAGCGGUGAAAUGCUUAGAUAUUGCGCAGAACUCCGAUUGCGAAGGCAGCAUACCGGCGGCGAUCUGACGCUGAGGCACGAAAGCGUUGGUAUCGAACAGGAUUAGAUACCCGGGUAGUC